UGAGGAACAUGACCUUCGGCGGGGGAGUAGCCGGCCCAACGGCCGGGUAAUACCGCGUACGACCACUCUGGGACAUCCCUAGGUGGUGAAAGCAGCAAUGCGCCGAUGGAGUGCCUCGCGGCCUAUCAGCUAGUUGGUGAGGUAACGGCUCACCAAGGCGACGACGGGUAGCUGGUCUGAGAGGAUGGCCAGCCACAUUGGGACUGAGACACGGCCCAGACUCCGUAGGAGG
rnacentral:rRNA from 1 species